UACGAAGGGGGCUAGCGUUGCUCGGAAUCACUGGGCGUAAAGCGCACGUAGGCGGAUCUUUAAGUCAGGGGUGAAAUCCUGGAGCUCAACUCCAGAACUGCCUUUGAUACUGAGGAUCUCGAGUCCGGAAGAGGUGAGUGGAACUCCGAGUGUAGAGGUGAAAUUCGUAGAUAUUCGGAAGAACACCAGUGGCGAAGGCGGCUCACUGGUCCGGUACUGACGCUGAGGAGCGAAAGCGUGGGUAGCAAACAGG
rnacentral:rRNA from 1 species